CGAUUCGGGGAGGUAGUGACAAUAAAUAACGUUGCAGGUGCCUUUGGCCUCUGCAGUCGGAAUGAGUACAAUACAACACCCUUAACGAGGAACAAUUGGAGGGCAAGUCUGGUGCCAGCAGCCGCGGUAAUUCCAGCUCCAAUAGCGUAUAUUAAAAUUGCUGCAGUUAAAAAGCUCGUAGUUGAACUUCGGAACCGGUCGAUUGGUCCGUCCUCUGGAUUGUGUACUGAUCGAUCUGUUCUUCUUCGCGAAGACCGCGUGUGCCCUUAACUGGGUGUGCACGGGAUUCACGACGUUUACUUUGAAAAAAUUAGAGUGUUCAAAGCAGGCAUUCGCUUGAAUAUCUCAGCAUGGAAUAAUAGAAUAGGACUUUGGUCUUAUUUUGUUGGUUUCCGAGACCGAAGUAAUGAUUAAUAGGGACAGUUGGGGGCAUUCGUAUUUCAUUGUCAGAGGUGAAAUUCUUGGAUUUAUGAAAGACGAACUUCUGCGAAAGCAUUUGCCAAGGAUGUUUUCAUUAAUCAAGAACGAAAGUUGGAGGCUCGAAGACGAUCAGAUACCGUCCUAGUUCCAACCAUAAACGAUGCCGUCUGCGGAUCAGCGGUCGCUCAUUUAAGGCUCCGUUGGCACGCUAUGAGAAAUCAAAGACUUCGGGUUCCGGGGGGAGUAUGUUCGCAAGAAUGAAACUUAAAGGAAUUGACGGAAGGGCACCACCAGGAGUGGAACCUG
rnacentral:rRNA from 1 species